AGUGAACGCUGGCGGCGUGCCUAAUACAUGCAAGUCGAACGAAGUGGCGCACGGGUGAGUAAUAUAUAGUUAAUCUGCCCUACACAGAGGAACAACAGUUGGAAAAGACUGCCAAUACCUCAUAGUGUAGGAUGAGACUAUAUCGUAUCAGCUAGUUGGUAAGGUAAUGGCUUACCAAGGCUACGACGCGUAACUGGUCUGAGAGGAUGAGCAGUCACAUUGGAACUGAGACACGGUCCAAACUCCUUCGGGAAGCAGCAGUAAGGUGAAGUGCGCAAUGGGGGAGACCCUGACGCAGCAACGCCGCGUGGAGGAUGACACUUUUCGGAGCAUAAACUCCUUUUAUCAGGAAAGCGUUACCUGAUGAAUAAGCACCGGCUAACUCCGUGCCAGCAGCCGCGGUAAUAC
rnacentral:rRNA from 1 species